GGGGGCGAACGGCUUCGACGGGGUGUUGACGCACAAGAGGGCAUGGCAAGGGUCUCUCGUGACCUUGUAAAUCCUGCGAGAGGAAAACUAACUGCUGAUAACAGCUACGCUUACGCAGCUUAAUUAACCGCGUCCUCGACCUUGUGUUCGGCCCGUUCGGUGCUAGGUUCGGGGUAAUUUAGGACGGGUGAAACCUCCGGGUGGCUACUACCUGAAGGUGGAUCUUUUUAGUAGCUGGUUCCUGAGUUGCUAGUCGCUAAGUUGCGAAGGAACGAGACUUUUUAUAGCGACUAACCAUGUAGUCCUCGACUGCCGACCAUCUCGGACGCGGGUUCAAUUCCCGCCGCCUCCAUUG
rnacentral:tmRNA from 1 species